rnacentral:lncRNA from 1 species
GUGAGCUUGCAAAAAGCACACACUUCUCUCCCAAUUAUUCCAUAAGACAUGAGCAAGGCCUGGGUAGGAAGAUGGUUCUUUAUAAUAAGCCAGAGAUUGAACUGAUACCUUGGCGUAAUAGCCUUGUUCCAAAUAAAGGAAGCCCAAUUGACCCUUUCCUUCCUUCUUCUGAAGAUAUGCCAAGCCGAGGCGACCGAGAAGAGGCCCGAAGGAUUGUCACUCCAAACAAAACUAUCGGGACCAUUGGAAAGGAGAGGAAGGGG